rnacentral:misc_RNA from 1 species
UGGUUCUGGCAUNGAUGAAGAACGCAGCGAAAUGCGAUAAGUAGUGUGAAUUGCAGAAUUCAGUGAAUCAUCGAAUCUUUGAACGCACAUUGCGCCCUUUGGUAUUCCAAAGGGCAUGCCUGUUCGAGCGUCAUUUGUACCCUCAAGCUUUGCUUGGUGUUGGGCGUCUUUUUGUCUCCCCUUGCGGGAGACUCGCCUUAAAGUCAUUGGCAGCCGGCCUACUGGUUUCGGAGCGCAGCACAAGUCGCGCUCUCUUCCAGCCCCAAGGUCUAGCAUCCAACAAGCCUUUUUUUCAACUUUUGACCUCGGAUCAGGUAGGGAUACCCGCUGA